rnacentral:rRNA from 1 species
AUUGAACGCUGGCGGCAGGCCUAACACAUGCAAGUCGAACGGUAACAGGAAGAAGCUUGCUUCUUUGCUGACGAGUGGCGGACGGGUGAGUAAUGUCUGGGAAACUGCCUGAUGGAGGGGGAUAACUACUAGAAACGGUAGCUAAUACCGCAUAACGUCGCAAGACCAAAGAGGGGGACCUUCGGGCCUCUUGCCAUCGGAUGUGCCCAGAUGGGAUUAGCUAGUAGGUGGGGUAACGGCGCACCUAGGCGACGAUCCCUAGCUGGUCUGAGAGGAUGACCAGCCACACUGGAACUGAGACACGGUCCAGACUCCUACGGGAGGCAGCAGUGGGGAAUAUUGCACAAUGGGCGCAAGCCUGAUGCAGCCAUGCCGCGUGUAUGAAGAAGGCCUUCGGGUUGUAAAGUACUUUCAGCGGGGAGGAAGGGAGUAAAGUUAAUACCUUUGCUCAUUGACGUUACCCGCAGAAGAAGCACCGGCUAACUCCGUG